AUUGAACGCUGGCGGAAUGCUUUACACAUGCAAGUCGAACGGCAGCACAGGGGCAACCCUGGUGGCGAGUGGCGAACGGGUGAGUAAUACAUCGGAACGUGCCCAGUCGUGGGGGAUAACGUAGCGAAAGUUACGCUAAUACCGCAUACGAUCUACGGAUGAAAGCGGGGGACCGUAAGGCCUCGCGCGAUUGGAGCGGCCGAUGUCAGAUUAGGUAGUUGGUGAGGUAAAGGCUCACCAAGCCGACGGUCUGUAGCUGGUCUGAGAGGACGACCAGCCACACUGGGACUGAGAUACGGCCCAGACUCCUACGGGAGGCAGCAGUGGGGAAUUUUGGACAAUGGGCGCAAGCCUGAUCCAGCCAUUCCGCGUGCAGGACGAAGGCCUUCGGGUUGUAAACUGCUUUUGUACGGAACGAAAAGGCUCUGGUUAAUACCUGGGGCUCAUGACGGUACCGUAAGAAUAAGCACCGGCUAACUACGUGCCAGCCGCCGCAGUAA
rnacentral:rRNA from 1 species